GGGCGCCGCGGGAACGCUGUCCUGGCUGCCGCCACCCGAACAGCCUGUCCUGGUGCCCCGGCUCCCUGCCCCGCGCCCAGUCAUGACCCUGCGCCCCUCACUCCUCCCGCUCCAUCUGCUGCUGCUGCUGCUGCUCAGUGCGGCGGUGUGCCGGGCUGAGGCUGGGCUCGAAACCGAAAGUCCCGUCCGGACCCUCCAAGUGGAGACCCUGUCCGAUCGUAGGUGGAGCCCCCAGAACCAUGUGCCGAGCCCGCUGCUUUUGGAGACACGCUUCACAUACACUACACGGUGAGGGGUCUGGGGGGCCGGGGCGGGGCCUGGGAGGGGGCGGCGCCCUGCUGAAACACGUCAGCUUUGGCUUGGACACGUGGCAAGCGGUUCGGGAGAAGAAACUCGGGGCUCUGGGGUCGUCGAGCACGUGGCGAGGGGAGAGACGUUGCUCUUCCGUGCCUCUUUUCCCUCCUUGCUUUUCUGCCAGUUCCUACCUGGCACGGAGAAGUGCAGGGUG
rnacentral:lncRNA from 10 species